rnacentral:rRNA from 1 species
UACGGAAGGGGGCUAGCGUUGCUCGGAAUCACUGGGCGUAAAGCGCACGUAGGCGGAUUGUUAAGUCAGGGGUGAAAUCCUGGAGCUCAACUCCAGAACUGCCUUUGAUACUGAAGAUCUUGAGUUCGGGAGAGGUGAGUGGAACUGCGAGUGUAGAGGUGAAAUUCGUAGAUAUUCGCAAGAACACCAGUGGCGAAGGCGGCUCACUGGCCCGAUACUGACGCUGAGGCACGAAGCGUGGGGAGCAACAGG